GCCAUAUUGAGAAUUGAGAAACCAAAAUUUUCACUAAUCAAAAGGAAACCUGGACAGAGUGGAACAACAAAAAAAUCAGUAACAACCAAUAGGUUAUCCUUGUGUCGAUCCCAAUUGAAACACAAAGUACACUGUACACCUGUAUAGUCUCACCAAACUGAAAAUGAGUAUCCUGCGUAUCAGCUGUGUUUCUAAAUUCAGAUAAGGGUCAACUGAAUUCCCCAGUUAUUCCAGUACUGUAACUUCUUGAUCCACUCUCCAAAAGUUUGCAUCAUUGAAUUCUUUCACUCCUGAUCCGCCCUCAUCUGUAUUAUCCUUUUCUGGCAUCUUAGGAACCAAGCUCCUUUUCAAUGGAGCCGCUUCCCCAACAAUACCCUCCUUAAGAGCGUGUUCCAUUGCCUUUUCAGUACCCUCUAAUUCCACACCAACAAAUUCAACAUCCUCU
rnacentral:misc_RNA from 1 species